GGGGCAUGAUUGACGCUGAGGCUCGAAAGCGCGGGUAUUAAACAGGAUUAGAUACCCUGGUAGUCCGCGCCGUAAACGAUGAAUACCCGCCGUUGGCGACACGCUGUCAGCGGCCAAGCGAAAGCAUUAAGUAUUCCACCUGGGGAGUACGCCGGCAACGGUGAAACUCAAAGGAAUUGACGGGGGCCCGCACAAGCGGAGGAACAUGUGGUUUAAUUCGAUGAUACGCGAGGAACCUUACCCGGGCUUGAACUGAGCAGGACGGGGGGCAGAGACGCCCUCUUUCUUCGGACCUGCUUGGAGGUGCUGCAUGGUUGUCGUCAGCUCGUGCCGUGAGGUGUCGGCUUAAGUGCCAUAACGAGCGCAACCCUUUCCGUCAGUUGCCAUCAGGUGAUGCUGGGCACUCUGUCGGUACUGCCAUCGCAAGAUGUGAGGAAGGUGGGGAUGACGUCAAAUCAGCACGGCCCUUACGUCCGGGGCUACACACGUGUUACAAUGGGGGGCACAGAGAGUUGCUUGCCGGCGACGGUUGGCGGAUCUUGAAAUCCCCUCUCAGUUCGGACUGGAGUCUGCAACCCGACUCCACGAAGCUGGAUUCGC
rnacentral:rRNA from 1 species